AUGGAUUGCAGCUGCCCAACUCCGUUCUCAACCAGGAAGGACAUGGCCAAACCCCAAUUAAGAUGGGAAUCUAAGUGACAGUGCAGUAGCCAAAUUCCUGUUCCAUACCAGAGUGAGUGAAUGAGAGGUACAGCAUUAGUGAUGUAGAAUAUUUGUUGGAAUAUAAAUUUCAGCGGGUUACCUGGAUUAUCAGCAACGAACCGGAUGGCCACCCAACCCCCUGGAGGGGUGCCAAUGGUGUUCCUAAGUGGUGGGUCAAUGAGGUUGAACUUGGCCGUAUCUGUUGCUGCGUUGAAGUUGCCAAAGCCCAUCCCAACAACAGCGAAAUGAUAACCAUGGAGAUGCAUUGGGUGGUCCUCAGUUGUGACAAUACUGGUAUCCUGAAACACAAGUUGUACUUUGGAACCAUAUUUGAGCUUGUAAAGCUUAGUUCCUGGAACAGGUUGCCAUAGCCCUCGGCUCACAUUUCCUGUGUAAUCAAAUUGCAAAGGAGGAACAGGUGGAAAAUCUGUGGUGAAGAUGCCAGGUUGACCUUGGUAGUAAGCUUGCAUUAAGGAGUUUCGUCUUGGGAGUGCAAAGGACACAUUGUUGAUACUGGCAGUAAAUCGAGUUCCAUUUGGA
rnacentral:misc_RNA from 1 species